rnacentral:rRNA from 1 species
AGUGAACGCUGGCGGUAGGCCUAACACAUGCAAGUCGAACGGCAGCACAGUAAGAGCUUGCUCUUACGGGUGGCGAGUGGCGGACGGGUGAGGAAUACAUCGGAAUCUACUUUUUCGUGGGGGAUAACGUAGGGAAACUUACGCUAAUACCGCAUACGACCUACGGGUGAAAGCAGGGGAUCUUCGGACCUUGCGCGAUUGAAUGAGCCGAUGUCGGAUUAGCUAGUUGGCGGGGUAAAGGCCCACCAAGGCGACGAUCCGUAGCUGGUCUGAGAGGAUGAUCAGCCACGCUGGGACUGAGAGACGGUGCAGACUGCGACGGGAGGCGGCAGUGGGGAAUAUUGGACAAUGGGCGCAAGCCUGAUCCAGCCAUACCGCGUGGGUGAAGAAGGCCUUCGGGUUGUAAAGCCCUUUUGUUGGGAAAGAAAAGCAGCAGGUUAAUACCCCGCUGUUCUGACGGUACCCAAAGAAUAAGCACCGGCUAACUUCGUG